GGAAGGAUCAUUAACGUUAUUGAAAAAAAGCAUACAUAACCUUGAAUCUAAGAUUCCACGUUUUACUGUUUGGCUUCUGCUGAACAGUGUGGUCCCCAAGUAGCCUAGUGGUAGGAUUUAGACCUUAAUUAAAUCCAACUGUGUUCUCCUGUAAUAUGAGAGGAACACUUGAGAUGUGUGAAUUGCAUUAUUGAGAGGAAAAGCAAACGGGAAGUGUGGCUGGUGCCUAGCCCAUGAAAGGGUACAAACUAGAUCAGGAUUAGACCGACACAAGUUGUUGUUCGACGAUAAAUUUUAUCUAUAAUUUUACAACUUUUAGCAGUGGAUGUCUUGGCUCAUACAUCGAUGAAGAACGCUGCAAACUGCGAUACUUAAUGCGAAUUGCAGGAUUCAGUGAGUCAUCAAAAUUUUGAACGCACAUUGCACUUUCGGAUUUAUCCGUUAGUAUGCCUGUAUCAGUGUCGACAUUUAAUUGAACUUUCGACUGAUUUUAUAUCAUAGAUAGAUCAGAUGAUGGAAUUACGCGUGUUUCACGUGUGUUUCGAAAUAAAUACUCUACAAAUAAGACUCCAUCUUGUGUGCUCGAGUUAGUAUUCUUUAAUGAAUUCAUAUUUUCUUUCGGGAAAGUGUAAACAAAUUGAUGAAAAUUAGCGAUGAAAGUAUGUAUAGAUCGGUUGUAUUUGCGUAUCUCUUUUGUUGACCUGAUAUCAGGUAAGAUUACCCGCUGAAUUUAAGCAUAUUAAUAAGCGGAGGAAAAGAAACUAACAAGGAUUCCCCUAGUAACGGCGAGUGAAGCGGGAUAAGCUCAAGCCAAAUCCUAUCUUUUUUAGAUAGGAGAUGUGGUGUAAUGAAUUAGUACACAGCCCGAGUAUCAUUUAGACAAAUGUUUUGGAAAAAACAAUCAAAGCGGGUGAAAAUCCUUUUGAGUUUAAAUGGUCUCGAGUACGUGCAUUAAUUCUUGAGUCGAGUUGUGUUGUAUUACAGCUCAAAGUAGGUCAUAAAUUCGAUCUAAAGCUAAAUAUAAGUAUGAGACCGAUAGCGAACAAGUACCGUGAGGGAAAGAUGAAAAGAACUUUGAAAAGAGAGUUAAAUAGGACCUGAAACUGCUGAAAGGGAACCGUAUCUAUCAAGCUUUGAUCUAAUUGGUUAUGUCUGUGGAGUGUAAAAGGAGUUCCUCUUUUUAUAUGGGUUAAUCAAGAGGUAAGCUAACCAUUUAUGGUUAGUUGAUACUUGGUGAACAUUGCCAUAAUGACGUGACCAAUUUAGAUAUAUUCUACUAAGAUACGACCCGUCUUGAAACACGGACCAAGGAGUCUAACAUGUCUGCAAGUAUUCGAGUAGUUUAAACUCUGAUGCGUAAUUAAAGUAAUAAGUAAGAGGUUUAGUGUUUUUCACUAUUCCGCAUUAUUCACCGAUUUGAUCCUUUAUGGAGAAAAAUUUGCGUGUUUAAGCAUAUACGUUAGGACCCGAAAGAUGGUGAACUAUGCCUGAAUAGGGCGAAGCCAGAAGAAAUUCUGGUGGAAGCUCGAAGCGUUUCUGACGUGCAAAUCGAUCGUCAAAUUUGGGUAUAGGUGCGAAAGACUAAUCGAACCAUCUAGUAGCUGGUUCCUUC
rnacentral:misc_RNA from 1 species